rnacentral:rRNA from 1 species
UGCAAGUCGAGCGGUAACAUUUCUAGCUUGCUAGAAGAUGACGAGCGGCGGACGGGUGAGUAAUGCUUGGGAACAUGCCUUUAGGUGGGGGACAACCAUUGGAAACGAUGGCUAAUACCGCAUAAUGUCUACGGACCAAAGGGGGCUUCGGCUCUCGCCUUUAGAUUGGCCCAAGUGGGAUUAGCUAGUUGGUGAGGUAACGGCUCACCAAGGCGACGAUCCCUAGCUGGUUUGAGAGGAUGAUCAGCCACACUGGAACUGAGACACGGUCCAGACUCCUACGGGAGGCAGCAGUGGGGAAUAUUGCACAAUGGGCGCAAGCCUGAUGCAGCCAUGCCGCGUGUGUGAAGAAGGCCUUCGGGUUGUAAAGCACUUUCAGUCAGGAGGAAAGGUUAGUAGUUAAUACCGGCUAGCUGUGACGUUACUGACAGAAGAAGCACCGGCUAACUCCGUGCCAGCAGCCGCGGUAAUACGGAGGGUGCGAGCGUUAAUCGGAAUUACUGGGCGUAAAGCGUACGCAGGCGGUUUGUUAAGCGAGAUGUGAAAGCCCCGGGCUUAACCUGGGAACUGCAUUUCGAACUGGCAAACUAGAGUGUGAUAGAGGGUGGUAGAAUUUCAGGUGUAGCGGUGAAAUGCGUAGAGAUCUGAAGG